AGGUAAUCAACUUAAUGGAUCCAUCCCCUUUGGGCUUCUAAAGAGAAGUCAAGAUGGCACCCUAACUCUAAGAUACAACAAAAACCCAAACCUUUGCAUCGACAACAACUCUUGCCAACCAACAAAAAGGGAAAACAAUUUUAAGAUUGUUGUUUGUAUUGUUGUUCCGAUAGUUGCGGUUGUUGUGAUUGGAGCACUUGUAGUACUUCUGAUUCUCAUAGUGAGAAAAAAGAAAGGAUCUACAAAGAGCAGCAAACAACAAGACCGUCAACACCUGGACAACCACCGAUUCACAUACAAAGAACUAGAGACCAUAACAGACAACUUCAAGACAGUGCUUGGCCUAGGAGGGUUUGGAACUGUUUAUGAUGGCUUCUUGCAGGAUGGUACCCAAGUUGCAGUCAAG